AUUGAACGCUGGCGGCAGGCCUAACACAUGCAAGUCGAGCGGAUGAAGGAAGCUUGCUUCCCGAUUCAGCGGCGGACGGGUGAGUAAUGCCUAGGAAUCUGCCUAUUAGUGGGGGAUAACUCGGGGAAACUCGGGCUAAUACCGCAUACGUCCUACGGGAGAAAGUGGGGGAUCUGCGGACCUCACGCUAAUAGAUGAGCCUAGGUCGGAUUAGCUGGUUGGUGAGGUAACUGCUCACCAAGGCGACGAUCCGUAGCUGGUCUGAGAGGAUGAUCAGCCACACUGGAACUGAGACACGGUCCAGACUCCUACGGGAGGCAGCAGUGGGGAAUAUUGGACAAUGGGCGAAAGCCUGAUCCAGCCAUGCCGCGUGUGUGAAGAAGGUCUUCGGAUUGUAAAGCACUUUAAGUUGGGAGGAAGGUCUGUAAGCUAAUAUCUUGCAGUCUUGACGUUACCAACAGAAUAAGCACCGGCUAACUCUGUGCCAGCAGCCGCCGUAACAC
rnacentral:rRNA from 1 species